ACCAUUGAAGGCACUGGUUAUUUUACCAAGGCUUUGACUGGAAUGGCAUGGUUUCAGUUAUAAACAGACUGCUUUAAGGAAUCAAAGUUGACUUACAGAGCUGAUAAAAGGCCCCUAAGAAAAACUGGCCUCACCUCUUGUCUAUAUAGUCCCUAUAUAGGUUUCCUGACCUGUGUUUUUUGACUUGGACUCAAUAAAAUUGCUGCUACCUUUUUACUGAGGCCUUACAAGCUAAAGCUUAUUCCUUGAGACACAGAAGUUCCAGGGAUUGAAUCUUGAGACAAUCUGGGUGCCUAUGGAAUUAUCUCCCACCAGAAGAUUACUUCAAGGCAGCAGCUAAUUUACAACCUGGUCAAGCCUGAGAUGGUGUCAACCCAUUCUCAAGAUGGGACAAUAACUCAAGAUAAGUCAUCAAAACAAGCCACGUAGACCAGCACCACCUCUCACGCCCCCACCCACCACCCCCCACCCACCACAUAUCCUCCAUACCAAACUUCCCCUUCUUAAACCCUAGCAUUUUGCCCAAGAAUUUUGAAGCAGUUUCAUUAAGGCAGGAGCCUGAACCACUUCCCCACUGUUAGCUUUGGAAAAUGAAGUCAAUUUCCUUAUACUGAA